rnacentral:pre_miRNA from 1 species
UACUGUAUUUGGUCGUUUAAAGGUUGCAAGUACGCUUCAAAGGACCUUAUACAGGAUG